GGGGUUAAAAGGGGAAAGGAGGGAUGCGUACCUGAUGCGACGGAUCUCCUCUAAGAACUGGAGAUCGUAGACCUUGUCAGCGACGGCGAAGUGGACGACGCCGGCGAUGUGGUGGCGCUCGAUUGAGGUGGUCGACGGCGACGUUGCGCCGGUGCACACAGGGCCGAGAAGAUCAGGGCGAAUGCGAGGGCGAUUUGGGACUGGGAUCGGAGCUUGGAGAAGACGCGGAGGAAGAGGGAGGAGGGGAUGAGUAGAGGUGAAGGAGAGAGUGAGAGCUCGAGCUCACGCUGAGGGGGAGAGCUCGAGCUCGGAGAGGAGGGGGUGAGGGAGAGAAAGGGUCGAUCGACGCAAGGGAGAGGUGCGGGAGGAGUGGGAUUGGGUUGGGUUCGAGUAGGGUAAGGGUAAGGGUUAGGGUUAGGCUUGUAUUAGAGCUAUAAUAUUAGUAGUUUUAAGA
rnacentral:lncRNA from 1 species